ensembl:lncRNA LINC00683 long intergenic non-protein coding RNA 683
GGGACUCAGUUUCUAGAUGGGGAGGCAGAGGGACCAAGGCAGCGACGCGUCUGUCAGCAGUGAGGUGCUAAGAGAAUAACAGAGUACACCAGUCAUCAUAAGAAGAAAAAUUCACAUUUAAAGUUUGGAAAGCAACAGGACAAAGGUCUGUCUUCAGUGGUGCGUAGACAUGCUCGUGAUUGAAUUGGAAAUAGUUCUCUUUCCUUCUCUCUGACUUCCUAACUGAAAAGCUGCAGCGUGGGGAGAAAGGCUGCUCAGAAGCCUGGAGCCAGAACACGCACCCCGGCUUUUGCAGGGCCGGCUCACUUGGUUAGAAUCAAAGGAAAAGCCUUGUUAUUUGGGAAGCUGGGCGUCCUCACCAAAUUAGGGGAUUUAAUUUGCAGAUAUCUAAGGAGUGCUUUGAAAUGAAAGAUGAACUAAAAUCUGCUCUGAGGCCCGUGAUUUUUCACCAGUGAAGGACUCUCUUGCUGCUGGACAUACAUGAAAAGCAUCAUCUGAUCUGAAACGCAAGUCCCUGCAAGACAGAGGAGAGACUUUAUAAACAUUUUAUACCAUUCUAUGAAAUCAAUUCGAUUCAGGGCUAGAAUUCAAGAAGUAAUCCAUGGGCAAGUAUAUCUGAUGGUAAACCCAAACGAUUAUAUUGUUAACCUCUUGUACUUUUUUUAAUUUUUUAUUAUUUGAUAUUAUUAUCACAAAAGUCGCUGGAACAGGAUCCAUGAGCUGCUUCUUCACUGCUUAGUGUUUUCAGAAGCUGAUGGAUUAUUAAGCUCCAAUUGAAUACUUGAUUUCCAAUGAUUCCAUUAAUUUUUCUGGUUUGUGGUAGGAUUUGAUUUACUUAUUUUGUACUUUAACACACCAAUAAAAAAUAGAUACUAAGAAA